AUACGUAGGUGACAAGCGUUAUCCGGAUUUAUUGGGUUUAAAGGGUGCGUAGGCGGGCUGUCAAGUCUGUGGUGAAAAGUCAGGGCUUAACCUUGAUCGUGCCGCGGAAACUGACGGUCUUGAAUAGGGAUGCCGUUGGCGGAAUGUGGAGUGUAGCGGUGAAAUGCAUAGAUAUUCCACAGAACACCGAUUGCGAAGGCAGCUGACGAAUCCCCGAUUGACGCUGAUGCACGAAAGUGCGGGUAUCGAACAGGAUUAGAUACCCUGGUAGUCCGCACAGUAAACGAUGAAUACUUGUUUUCGGCGAUAUAAUGUCGGAGGCAAAGCGAAAGCGAUAAGUAUUCCGCCUGGGGAGUACGGCCGCAAGGUUGAAACUCAAAGGAAUUGGCGGG
rnacentral:rRNA from 1 species